UCUACAAUCAAAGCACCCUGAACAUGCCCAAUCUUGACAGAUCUGAGAAGCUAAGAAGGGUCAGGAUUUCAUAGUACUUGGACAGGAGAACAGGGAGAAUUCAACCAUGGUCAGAU
rnacentral:rRNA from 1 species